GCAAGUCGAAUGGGUUUAGACCCAUGGCAGACGAGGUAGUAACACGUAGGUACGUACCCCAAAGUCGGGAAUAAUCGGUCGAAAGAUCGGAUAAUACCCGAUGGUCCCGCAAGGGUAAAGAUUUAUCGCUUUGGGAGCGGCCUGCGUAGUAUCAGCUUGUUGGUAAGGUAAAAGCUUACCAAGGCUAUGACGCUUAGGGGAGGUGAGAGCCUGACC
rnacentral:rRNA from 1 species